rnacentral:lncRNA from 1 species
CAAAAGUGGGCAUGGCCUGAUGGUAAUAAGCUGGGGGAAACUUAGCAAGGCCUAUUGUUCAGAUUCUUCCUGGUGUCUCUGUGUGUUCAGCUGCUUUCCUCUAGUUCUAGAGAGAAUACCUCUGAAUGAAGGUCUUUAUGAUUUGCUUUAGAUGAAAGUCAGAGGAUUAUUUUAUGGUCUGCUUCAGGGGAGAAGAGUGAGAGAAAGUCAAAGAGAUCUUUCUGCUUCUGCUGCUUUCUCAAAUGCCAAGUUGCUGUAUUUUGGGGUAGUAUGUCCUGAACCCCAUCAGGUACUUGACAUUUCAUGAAGAUCCUGGAAAGAAGAAAGAAAUGGCUUCUAACAAAAAGAAGGGGAGGAUUUCCAGCUCAUUUCUAAUUCAGGCUCAUUGGAGAAGGAAGUGGCAUGGGUGACGAUAAGCAGCAGUUUUUAUGUCUGAAGGAAACUGAAAACAGCAUCUCACUGGGGUGGCCAGGAGCUCUUCUGCUGAAGUCUCUGUGUAUCCAGAAUGCCUGGGAUUGGAUUCUUGUCCUGUUGCCUCUGACUUCCUAGAAGUGGCCUCUGGGCCGUCUUUAUUUAUUAAAUCAUCUGGGUAUGAUCUGGCUCUGAUAUUUUGGCAUUCGGGAGUGGCAGACCAAGCUCAAAUUGCAAUAGUCCUUUAAAAAGAUGUUUCUAAAAGCCAGAUAUGCACUGACAUUUCAGAAAGAACAUUUGUGCCUAAUUUCCAGCUGCCAAGUUAUAGUUCAUCAUUCAGCUUCAUAUUGGAGGCCUUCAGGCUUUGAUUUAUUUAGGAAACAUUGGUGAACAAUGGGAUCAUGAUCUGCAACAUGACAGAUGUAGGAAGUCCAUGUCCCCUAAAGGAGGUUUUCUGGAGACUCCUAACAAUUAAGAGAAUCUGUUCUGUUUCUAAGUUGACAGCAAAUUAUUGAAUUCUGAGUAUCCAGAAUGAGUUUGGGGAGUAAGAGUUGUGAAGGGCAGACAUUAACUGCUUAUUUAAGACAUAAUACCUGUCCUUUGGAAACUUAUGGUUUGUUAGGGGGUAGUGUCCUAGAAACAAUGUAAGACAAUUUGUUACCAAAUGAUAAAUAGAACUUUAAAACAAAAAUUUUCCUACUGUCAGGGAAACUAAGUUUUCCUUUUCUUUGAAGGCAUGGAGAAGUGCCGAGCAGUGUGUUACUUUUCCUCUAUUCCCUGGUUCGUUCCUCACCCACGUCAGUUUUUCUUCAUAUUUGUCUUUAUUGGAACCCACAAAGUUUAUUCAAAGUUAUUAUCAGUUUCUUCCCUUUUGUGAAGAAAAUUCAAUUUUUAUGAAUUAGAUUUUUAAGAUGGCUUGUAAUGUACCCAUACAGCCAGGUAUAAGAAAUUACCUGGUAGCUUCACUGAUGCAGAUGACAGAUACCUGUGGGGACUUACAGUCUAGUUGGGAGAGUAAUCACACACAUACACACACACACACACACACACACCCCAGAUUUGGCAUGAGAAGAACAACGCUGAAGUCGAUAUCUGCCUAUUUUGUUUAUAAUGGUGUGACCUUGGGCAAGUCACUUAAUUUUUCAAUGUAUUUUCUCAUCUAUAAGAUGGGAGAUAUCUUAUAUCCUAAGGCUAUUGAUUAUGUCAGAUGGAAUCUCAUCUGAGAAAAUACCUUAGAAAUUGUACAGUAUGAUAAAAAUAUUGACUUUUAUUUUCUAAAUCAUACAUAGCAAGAUGCAGGACUAGUUUAAUUGUUGUCACUUUUAGAAUCCGAUUUUCACAUCAUCAUUCCAUUUCUUAUGAUAUUUAACAUGACAAGCAAAAGACCUUGUUCAAAGGGGAAGAACAAAUAAGAUUAAUUCUCUGUAAAUCCUUUAAAAUUUUAUUAUCCAUCUCUUCACUGGGGAAAUGUCUAGAUACAUUUUCCUAAGUGGUUCCAUCUUUCUGUAAAUGGCUAUUGACCUGCUGAGUGCAGUUUUGCUUUCAGAGAAGCAUUGCACUUGGUGUGUGAUUUGAGUUUGGGAUCAUGACCUUAUUUCCUUUGCACUUGAUUGCUUUACUUCACCAACUGCAUCCCUGAUUUUGAUAUUAUCUGUGGCUAGCUCCUUUCAUGAUUUUGGGAAUGGCUACCUCUCAGUUUUCUGAAUAUUUUUUAGUACUUGCUGUUACAAUGUAGACAUUGCAAUAAUGUUCUAAAAUUAUAUGUACAUUUACUUACUCAACACAAAUUUAAAGAGUACCUGAUAAGAGCUGGUACUCUGAGUACUGAGCACUGAGUACCUGGUAGAAUCAUUAAUACAGAAGACAAAGCUCUGGCCUCAAGGAUUCUGCAGUACAGCAGCAGGGAGGUAAAACACACAUACCACAUUUGUUUACUGCAAGUGUGGGAGGUAGAUAGGUGUCCCCUAAAAACAUGUGUUCCCAGAACCUGUGACGUGACCUUACUUGGAAAAAGGGUCUUUGCAGAUGUUUAAGUUAAUAAUCUUGUGAUGAGAUCAUCCUGGAUUGUACAGGUGGGCCCUAAAUCCAGUGAAAACUAUCUUUGUAAGAGACAGAUGAGGAGAAGACGUAGAGACUUGUGAAACAGAAGGCCAUGUGAAGACAGAGGCAGAGAUUGGAGGGAUAUAACCAGAAAGAAUGCCCAUAGGCAGCAGAAAUUGGAAGAGGUAAGAAUUGGAUUGUUGCCUAAAGCCUUCAGAAGGAGUGUGACCCUGUCAGCAUUUGGAUCUCCGACUCUGGCCUUUAAAACUGAGAGAGAAAAAAAUUUCUGUUGUUUUAAGCCAGUGAGUUUGUGGUAAUUUUUUAAUGGCAGCCAUGAGAAACGAAUACAACAAGGAACAGGAUAAUCUACAAAAUACAUGAAUUAUACAAGAGCAUCAGAAGUUUGUGGAAAUUUAGUAUAAAAAACACCUCUUAUUGAAAGUGUGAUUGUUACUAUACAGUCAGUCCAGAAGCACUGAAUUAUGAAAAUAUCAUUGCCUGGUAUGUGUCAGUUAUGUUUAUAAUAAUAUAAAUAAUCUAAGCACACAUUGUGUCCUGUAAUUUUAAUUUUACUCUAACAUCCCAUGCAAAGGUUUAACUGUAGGUGGCCAUUUCAUGAAACAAAUGCCAAUUUCUCAUGGACCAAUGUUCUCCCAGCAGAGGAAAUAUAUCUUCCUGCCCACACUGGGCUACAACAUCACUAAAAUUACAAGCAGAAAGGAGGUCUGCAUUUC